rnacentral:rRNA from 1 species
GAUUGAACGCUGGCGGCAUGCCUUACACAUGCAAGUCGAACGGUAACGGGCCUUCGGGUGCCGACGAGUGGCGAACGGGUGAGUAAUACAUCGGAACGUGCCCGAUCGUGGGGGAUAACGAGGCGAAAGCUUUGCUAAUACCGCAUACGAUCUACGGAUGAAAGCAGGGGACCGCAAGGCCUUGCGCGGACGGAGCGGCCGAGGGCAGAUUAGGUAGUUGGUGGGAUAAAAGCUUACCAAGCCGACGAUCUGUAGCUGGUCUGAGGGGAUGAUCAGCCACACUGGGACGGGAAAACGGCCCAAGUCCCUACGGGAGGCAGCAGGGGGGAAUUUUGGAAAAGGGGCGCAAGCCUGAUCCAGCCAGGCCGGGUGAAGGAUGAAGGCCUUCGGGUUGUAAACUGUUUUUGUAAGGAACGAAAACCCUUUUUUUAAAACAGGAGGGUAAUGACGGUACCGAAAAAAUAAGCCCCGGCUAACUCCGU